UACGAAGGGGGCUAGCGUUGCUCGGAAUCACUGGGCGUAAAGGGUGCGUAGGCGGGUCUUUAAGUCAGGGGUGAAAUCCUGGAGCUCAACUCCAGAACUGCCUUUGAUACUGAGGAUCUUGAGUUCGGGAGAGGUGAGUGGAACUGCGAGUGUAGAGGUGAAAUUCGUAGAUAUUCGCAAGAACACCAGUGGCGAAGGCGGCUCACUGGCCCGGUACUGACGCUGAGGUGCGAAAGCGUGGGGGGCAAACAGG
rnacentral:rRNA from 1 species